UGGAACAGGGCGCCAUUGAGGGUGAGAGCCCCGUGCGGCACGCGUCUAAGCUUUAAGACCCUUCUGACGAGUCGAGUUGUUUGGGAAUGCAGCUCUAAGUGGGUGGUAAAUUCCAUCUAAGGCUAAAUACUGGCGAGAGACCGAUAGCGAACAAGUACUGUGAAGGAAAGAUGAAAAGCACUUUGAAAAGAGAGUGAAACAGCACGUGAAAUUGUUGAAAGGGAAGGGUAUUGGGCUCGACAUGGGGACUGCGCACCGUUGCUUCUUGUAGGCGGCGCUCUGUGCGGUUUCUGGGCCAGCAUCAGUUUUUGCCGCGGGAGAAUGGGGGGAGGAACGUGGCUCUUCGGAGUGUUAUAGCCUCUCUCAGAUGCCGCGAGCGGGGACUGAGGUCUGCGAUUCGUUCAAGGAUGCUGGCACAACGGCGCAAUACCGCC
rnacentral:rRNA from 2 species